rnacentral:rRNA from 1 species
AUUGAACGCUGGCGGCAGGCCUAACACAUGCAAGUCGAGCGAAGCGGGGACGGGUGAGUAACACGUGGAUAACCUCCUAUAAGACAGGGAUAACUUUGGGAAACCGGAGCUAAACCGGAUACUUAGAGAUGGCUCCGCGCUGCAUGAGCUAGUUGGUAAGGUAACGGCAUACCCAGGGAACGAUGCAUAGCCGACCUGAGAGGCUGUUCGGGCACACUGGAGCUGAUACCCGGUCCAAUCUCCUACGGGAGGCAGCAGUAGGGAAUCUUCCGCAAUGGGCGAAAGCCUGACGGAGCGACGCCGCGUGAGUGAUGAAGGUCUUCGGAUCGUAAAGCUCUGUUAUUGGGGAAGCGGUACCUAAUCAAAAAGCCCGGGCAAACUACGUGCCAGCAGCCGCGGUAAUUC